CAGAACUCUAAGAUGACCCACAAUGGCUCAUACCUUUAUAUAAUCUCCUCCCCUUGAGAGUGGGAGGGAGCUAUAUAUGUGAUGGGAUAUCACUCCCAUGAUUACUUUAUGUUAUAAGACACAGUUGACUGUAAGAAAGGGAGAUUAUCCUUAGUGGGGCUGACCUAAUGCAGUGAGCCUUUUAGAGCCAAGAGUUUUCUCCAGAUGGUCACAGAAGAGGAAGGCAGAGUGAUACUGGCUGGCCCAGAAGAAAGCAAACAUCCACGUGAAGCACCUAGGGUCUAUAUGGUAAGGAACUACAAGCAACCUCCAGAAACUGAGCACCGUCCCCAGCCAACAGUUAGCAAGAAAAUAGGGAUCUAAAUUAUAUAACUUCAAGGAAAUAAAUCCUGCCAACAACCAGUGAUCCUGGAAGAGGACUCCAAGCUCCAGAUGAGAGCCACAGCCCUGGCCAAUUCCUUGAUGUCAGCCUGGUGAGACACUAAGCAGAAAAAUCCAGGUGGAACUCCCAUCUCCCAUCCCCCUGGGGCAGGGGAAAGGAAUUUGUGGCAGCUGAAUUCAUACCUCCUGGUGCUAAGGAGCUUCCGGAGUAUAUGGGAAGGAGAGAACCAGCGUGAAUCAAACCAUCUCAAACCACAGGAUGUAUUACAAAAGAGUAGCAAGACAGCAUGUGCAGCAAGCACUGGAAACUUUGUAUUUGGAAUGGUUAAAUCUGACUGCUCUCACACUGUGAUGAUGAUGUGAUUGGCAUAUAAAUCUUCUCUUUCACACUGGAACAGGGAAUAAAAGCAGAGCAUGCGCCAGGCCCUCAGGGAGGUUAAUGGGAUGAUCAUCACAGUCCAAAAGAAUUUCAAGCACUUCUUGAUGUGUGGUGCUAGGCCUGGAGGUGUGGAGGGCCUUCUGACUCCUUGCAG
rnacentral:lncRNA from 10 species